rnacentral:sRNA from 1 species
AGAGGCCACUACACCGUUGGCAAAGAGAUCGUAGAUCUGUGCCUCGACUGUGUCCGCAAGCUCGCUGACAACUGUACCGGUCUUCAGGGCUUCCUCGUCUUCAUUGUUGUCGGCGGAGGAACCAGUACCGGUCUAGGAUCCCUCCUGUUGGGGCAUCUCUAUGUGGAUUACAGCAAAAUAUCUAAACUAGGGUUCACCAUUUAUCCUUCCCCUCAGGUUUC